rnacentral:rRNA from 1 species
CCCUUAGAUGUUCUGGGCCGCACGCGCGCUACACUGACGAAUGCAACGAGCUUAUAACCUUGGCCGAAAGGUCUGGGUAAUCUCCAAAUUUCGUCGUGAUGGGGAUAGAUUAUUGCAAUUAUUAAUCUUCAACGAGGAAUGCCUAGUAAGCGAAAGUCAUCAGCUUGCGUUGAUUACGUCCCUGCCCUUUGUACACACCGCCCGUCGCUCCUACCGAUUGAAUGGUCCGGUGAAGCGUUCGGACCGUGGCCUUUGGACGGUUCGCCGUCUGUUGGCUGCGGGAAGUUCGUUAAACCUUAUCAUUUAGAGGAAGGAGAAGUCGUAACA